rnacentral:lncRNA from 1 species
ACACAAGCCCUGUAAAUAACUUCUCCCAAUAGUGUCAGUAGAUACAAACAACAUAGAAUCAAAUUUAUCAGGUAAUACAUCAAAUUUUGAUGCAAAAAUAAGUGAAACAAAUGAAUGCGAUACACCAGAGUCAAUCAAAACAUGAGCAAGAUAGUUACAGAUUGUGUACAUACCCUGUACUAUGUCCAGAUUGGCUUCAGCAUCCUGCUGGGUGAGAUUGUAAGCUCUGCCCUUGAUAGGAGGUCUGCCCUAAUUCUAGUUCCUUGGGCACUCUCUCGCAUAAUGUUAGGCACUACCACAUAUGCGACAGGUGUUGUUGAGGCGGUAGCAGGGUCGGUCUCCAUGAUCCCUGCUGCAAUGUUGACAGA